rnacentral:rRNA from 1 species
UGGUGGAGUGAUUUGUCUGGUUUAUUCCGUUAACGAACGAGACCUCGACCUGCUAAAUAGGGUGACGUAGGCUCUUGCUUAUGGACACAACUUCUUAGAGGGACUGUCGGUUCUGAGCCGAAGGAAGUUCGAGGCAAUAACA